UAAGGGGAUCUGUUAGAGCAAUCGAAGCAGUGAACUUAAGCCCCAGUAAACGGCGGCCGUAACUAUAACGGUCCUAAGGUAGCGAAAUUCCUUGUCGGGUAAGUUCCGACCCGCACGAAAGGCGUAACGAUUUGGGCACUGUCCCAACAACAGACUCGGUGAAAUUGUAAUUCCGGUGAAGAUGCCGGAUACCUGCGACAGGACGGAAAGACCCCAUGGAGCUUUACUGUAGCUUGACAUUGGGUCUUGGUACUACAUGUACAGGAUAGGUGGGAGGCUUUGAAACCAGGACGCCAGUUUUGG
rnacentral:rRNA from 1 species